GACAGGAAAAUGCAAGACAGUCUAUUGAGGGACAGACAACCCAAAUGGGGACAGCUUCACAGUCAGGACAACUAAUAAGAUGUCCUCAGGGUAGUGGCUUUGGACAGUCAAUGCAUCAAGAAAUGGCGAGGUCUUUUCCUGGACUUUUUCGCAGAGAGGCAAAAGGCAAAAGAUGUUUCGCACCCUAUGCACGACUACAAAAAGGUUUUCUGGUUAACUUUUUCUUACUUGAUAGACAUCGUUCAAAAACACCCAAAGGAGAUGAAGAGCUGCAGCUCAUACUGGCUGGUCUUGAGAAAAGGUCUCUCACGGUAACCGAAAGCUUCACACAUUCCCAGCUGACAGAUUUUCUGCUCAAUGCAUUUCCACGUCUUAGCAGUAUUAAUGGUGGCUGGCUGUUACACAAGUCUACAGGU